rnacentral:rRNA from 1 species
UACGUAGGGUGCAAGCGUUAAUCGGAAUUACUGGGCGUAAAGCGUGCGUAGGCGGCUAUGUAAGACAGAUGUGAAAUCCCUGGGCUUAACCUAGGAACUGCAUUUGUGACUGCAUUGCUAGAGUGCGGCAGAGGGGGAUGGAAUUCCGCGUGUAGCAGUGAAAUGCGUAGAUAUGCGGAGGAACACCGAUGGCGAAGGCAAUCCCCUGGGCCUGCACUGACGCUCAUGCGCGAAAGCGUGGGGAGCAAACAGG